GGCAUCGCCGCGGAGCCUCGGUUGGCCUCGGAUAGCCGGUCCCCCGCCUGUCCCCGCCGGCGGGCCGCCCCGCCGUGCGCCGGGACCGGGGUCCGGGGCGGAGUGCCCUUCCUCCUGGGAAACGGGGUGCGGCCGGAAAGGCGGCCGCCCCCUCGCCCGUCACGCAACGCACGUUCGUGGGGAACCUGGCGCUAAACCAUUCUCAGCCCUC
rnacentral:lncRNA from 1 species